UGGGGAAUUUUGCGCAAUGGGCGAAAGCCUGACGCAGCGACGCCGCGUGGAGGAUGAAGGUCUUCGGAUUGUAAACUCCUUUUGUAGGGAAAGAUAAUGACGGUACCCUGCGAAUAAGCCACGGCUAACUCUGUGCCAGCAGCCGCGGUAAGACAGAGGUGGCAAGCGUUGUUCGGAAUUACUGGGCUUAAAGGGCGCGUAGGUGUCCUGGCAAGUCAGAUGUGGAAUCUUUCUGCUUAACGGAAAAAUUGCAUUUGAAACUGCCGGGAUUGAGUCAGACAGGGGAUGGCGGAAUUCCUGGUGUAGCGGUGAAAUGCGUAGAUAUCAGGAGGAAGGCCUGUGGUGAAGACGGCCAUCUGGGUCUGAACUGACACUGAGGCGCGAAAGCGUGGGUAGCAAACAGGAUUAGAUACCCUGGUAGUCCACGCCCUAAACGGUGGGUACUAGGUGUGGGGCUCGCAAGGGUUCCGUGCCGAAGGGAAACCAUUAAGUACCCCGCCUGGGGAGUACGGCCGCAAGGUUG
rnacentral:rRNA from 1 species